rnacentral:rRNA from 1 species
UACGUAGGGGGGCAAGCGUUGUCCGGAUUUAUUGGGCGUAAAGAGCGUGUAGGCGGCCAUACAGGUCAGCUGUGAAAACUCGAGGCUCAACCUCGAGACGUCGGUUGAAACCGUAUGGCUAGAGUCCGGAAGAGGAGAGUGGAAUUCCCGGUGUAGCGGUGAAAUGCGCAGAUAUCAGGAGGAACACCGGUGGCGAAGGCGGGACUCUGGGCCGAUACUGACGCUGAGGAGCGAAAGCGUGGGGGAGCGAACAGG